GAGAGUCUGGCUACUAUACUCUUAUGAGUAUAGAGCCUCUUGUACUCAUAAGUUUUUGAUCGUUAGAUCUACCCUUUAAUCAUUUUCACCCGUUAGAUUAUAUUAUUCAACCAACCACCCACUCAACCUUAGGGAGCCCACUAUCAACCUAACCGUAACCACUUUCAUCCCGAGCGUAUAUUUUUUCAUCUGAACGGCUGAAAACUUAUGAGUACAAAGGGCUCUAUACUCAUAUAAGUAUAGUAGCCCUAGCCUAUAUAUAUAUAAUUGAGCUCCUAUGCUUUUAAAAGUACCAAGUCAUUGGUGCUUGUAAGUUUUCAGCCCUUGGAUUAAAGGAUGUGCGGUUAGGAUGAUGUGGGCCCCCUAGGAUUGAGUGGGUGGUUGGUUGAAUAGUAUAAUCUAACGGGUAAAAAUGAUCAAAGGUAGAGAUCUAACGGUAAAAAAUUUACAAGCACCAAGUGUUUGGUACUUUUACAAGUACCAUAACCGGACUCUAUAUAUAUAUAUAUAUAUAUAUAUAUAGAAUUAGGCUGGAAUACUAUUAAUAGUAAAACGCUCUUUUUGCUAUCAAGUUUUUAACCCUUGGAUAAAAAAUUGUAUGGUCGGAAUGAUAUUAGUCGGUUAGAGUUGAGUAGUCUCCCUAGGGUUGAGUGGUCCCCACUGGGUUAUAGUAUUUAAUCCAAUAGUUAGAAAUAAUGAAAAGAGUUGAUUCAAAGGCUAAAAAACUGAUAGCAACAAUGGGAUUUUGCUACUAAUAGUAGCUCAGUCCAACUCUCUCUCUCUCUCUCUCUCUCUCUCUCUCUCUCUCUCUCUCUCUCUCUCUCUCUAUAUAUAUAUAUAUAUAUAUAUAUAUAAAAGUGUAUAGAAAUUCAUAAAAAAAUAAAAUAAUAUUUUCCACGAAUGGUUAUGAUUAAUUUGUUAAAAAUAUUUCAAAUAAAAAUGAAUGGCUAUGAUCAAUUUAUUAAGGCUUAGUUUGGUAUUGAAGUCUAUUUAACGCUAUUAGAUAGAAUGGAGUUGAGAAAAAAUAUAUAGAGAUAUAUUUCAGCGUUCUCCGAUGGGACAGCAGAAAAUAUACUGUAAUCGACUAACCGUAAUAUGCGGAACGUAAUAUUACGUACAGUAUUUUUCCAUUAUCGUUUCAAAUCGCACGCAACGCAAUUUCUUUGCAAUCCCAAACAAAGCCUAAAUCUCUACUAUAUCAAAAAGAAGAAUAAAAUAUAAAUGAUUAUGAUUAAUUUCUUAAAAAUAUCUCAAAUAAAAAUGAACAGUUAUGAUCAAUUUGUUAAAAAAUACUAUUCAUAUUUAUCUAUUUUACAUUAAAAUUAAAAUUAAAAUUUAAACUAUGAAUUAAAUUUAAUUUUUGAUGUCAAAUUUGAAUUAAUAAUUAAUUUUUUUAAUAUAGUGGAUCAAAAUUAAAUUUAAAUUUUAAAAUAAUUGUGAAUUAAAAUUUGAUAUUUUUAGUUUAGAACAUGUACUUAAAUUUAAUUAAUCAAAAAGUAUAUAAAAAUAUUUGAUGUAUAUAAAAAAUGAACACCGUAGGAUAUUGUAAAUAUUUUUUAAUAAAAUAUAAUAUAUAAAUUUAUAAAUGUAAUUUUUAUUGUAAAAUUUUAAAUAUAUAUAAUGUACAAAUUCAUAGUGAUUUGAA
rnacentral:lncRNA from 1 species